AUGGUCAAGUGAAGAAGCGCAUACGGUGGAUGCCUUGGCAGUCAGAGGCGAUGAAAGACGUGGUAGCCUGCGAAAAGCUUCGGGGAGUCGGCAAACAGACUUUGAUCCGGAGAUGUCUGAAUGGGGGAACCCAGCCAUCAUAAGAUGGUUAUCUUGUACUGAAUACAUAGGUGCAAGAGGCGAACCAGGGGAACUGAAACAUCUAAGUACCCUGAGGAAAAGAAAUCAACCGAGAUUCCCUUAGUAGUGGCGAGCGAACGGGGACUAGCCCUUAAGUGGCUUUGAGAUUAGCGGAACGCUCUGGAAAGUGCGGCCAUAGUGGGUGAUAGCCCUGUACGCGAAAAUCUCUUAGUCAUGAAAUCGAGUAGGACGGAGCACGAGAAACUUUGUCUGAAUAUGGGGGGACCAUCCUCCAAGGCUAAAUACUACUGACUGACCGAUAGUGAACUAGUACCGUGAGGGAAAGGCGAAAAGAACCCCGGAGAGGGGAGUGAAAUAGAUCCUGAAACCGUAUGCGUACAAGCAGUGGGAGCCCACUUUGUUGGGUGACUGCGUACCUUUUGUAUAAUGGGUCAGCGACUUAUUUUCAGUGGCGAGCUUAACCGAAUAGGGGAGGCGUAGCGAAAGCGAGUCUUAAUAGGGCGUCUAGUCGCUGGGAAUAGACCCGAAACCGGGCGAUCUAUCCAUGGGCAGGUUGAAGGUUGGGUAACACUAACUGGAGGACCGAACCGACUACCGUUGAAAAGUUAGCGGAUGACCUGUGGAUCGGAGUGAAAGGCUAAUCAAGCUCGGAGAUAGCUGGUUCUCCUCGAAAGCUAUUUAGGUAGCGCCUCAUGUAUCACUGUAGGGGGUAGAGCACUGUUUCGGCUAGGGGGUCAUCCCGACUUACCAAACCGAUGCAAACUCCGAAUACCUACAAGUGCCGAGCAUGGGAGACACACGGCGGGUGCUAACGUCCGUCGUGAAAAGGGAAACAACCCAGACCGUCAGCUAAGGUCCCAAAGUUAUGGUUAAGUGGGAAACGAUGUGGGAAGGCUUAGACAGCUAGGAGGUUGGCUUAGAAGCAGCCACCCUUUAAAGAAAGCGUAAUAGCUCACUAGUCGAGUCGGCCUGCGCGGAAGAUGUAACGGGGCUCAAACCAUACACCGAAGCUACGGGUAUCACGUAAGUGAUGCGGUAGAGGAGCGUUCUGUAAGCCUGUGAAGGUGAGUUGAGAAGCUUGCUGGAGGUAUCAGAAGUGCGAAUGCUGACAUGAGUAACGACAAUGGGUGUGAAAAACACCCACGCCGAAAGACCAAGGUUUCCUGCGCAACGUUAAUCGACGCAGGGUUAGUCGGUCCCUAAGGCGAGGCUGAAAAGCGUAGUCGAUGGAAAACAGGUUAAUAUUCCUGUACUUCUGGUUAUUGCGAUGGAGGGACGGAGAAGGCUAGGCCAGCUUGGCGUUGGUUGUCCAAGUUUAAGGUGGUAGGCUGAGAUCUUAGGUAAAUCCGGGAUCUUAAGGCCGAGAGCUGAUGACGAGUCAUCUUUUAGAUGACGAAGUGGUUGAUGCCAUGCUUCCAAGAAAAGCUUCUAAGCUUCAGGUAACCAGGAACCGUACCCCAAACCGACACAGGUGGUUGGGUAGAGAAUACCAAGGCGCUUGAGAGAACUCGGGUGAAGGAACUAGGCAAAAUGGCACCGUAACUUCGGGAGAAGGUGCGCCGGUGAGGGUGAAGGACUUGCUCCGUAAGCUCAUGCCGGUCGAAGAUACCAGGCCGCUGCGACUGUUUAUUAAAAACACAGCACUCUGCAAACACGAAAGUGGACGUAUAGGGUGUGACGCCUGCCCGGUGCCGGAAGGUUAAUUGAUGGGGUUAGCUAACGCGAAGCUCUUGAUCGAAGCCCCGGUAAACGGCGGCCGUAACUAUAACGGUCCUAAGGUAGCGAAAUUCCUUGUCGGGUAAGUUCCGACCUGCACGAAUGGCGUAACGAUGGCGGCGCUGUCUCCACCCGAGACUCAGUGAAAUUGAAAUCGCUGUGAAGAUGCAGUGUAUCCGCGGCUAGACGGAAAGACCCCGUGAACCUUUACUAUAGCUUUGCACUGGACUUUGAAUUUGCUUGUGUAGGAUAGGUGGGAGGCUUUGAAGCGUGGACGCCAGUCUGCGUGGAGCCAACCUUGAAAUACCACCCUGGCAACUUUGAGGUUCUAACUCAGGUCCGUUAUCCGGAUCGAGGACAGUGUAUGGUGGGUAGUUUGACUGGGGCGGUCUCCUCCUAAAGAGUAACGGAGGAGUACGAAGGUGCGCUCAGACCGGUCGGAAAUCGGUCGUAGAGUAUAAAGGCAAAAGCGCGCUUGACUGCGAGACAGACACGUCGAGCAGGUACGAAAGUAGGUCUUAGUGAUCCGGUGGUUCUGUAUGGAAGGGCCAUCGCUCAACGGAUAAAAGGUACUCCGGGGAUAACAGGCUGAUACCGCCCAAGAGUUCAUAUCGACGGCGGUGUUUGGCACCUCGAUGUCGGCUCAUCACAUCCUGGGGCUGAAGCCGGUCCCAAGGGUAUGGCUGUUCGCCAUUUAAAGUGGUACGCGAGCUGGGUUUAGAACGUCGUGAGACAGUUCGGUCCCUAUCUGCCGUGGACGUUUGAGAUUUGAGAGGGGCUGCUCCUAGUACGAGAGGACCGGAGUGGACGAACCUCUGGUGUUCCGGUUGUCACGCCAGUGGCAUUGCCGGGUAGCUAUGUUCGGAAUAGAUAACCGCUGAAAGCAUCUAAGCGGGAAACUAGCCUCAAGAUGAGAUCUCACCGGGACCUUGAGUCCCCUGAAGGGCCGUCGAAGACUACGACGUUGAUAGGUUGGGUGUGUAAGCGCUGUGAGGCGUUGAGCUAACCAAUACUAAUUGCCCGUGAGGCUUGACCAU
rnacentral:rRNA from 1 species